UACAGGGGGUGCAAACGUUGCUCGGAAUCAUUGGGCGUAAAGCGCACGUAGGCGGUUCGUUAUGUCGGAUGUGAAAGCCCUUGGCUUAACCGAGGAAGUGCAUCCGAAACUGGCGAGCUAGAGUACGAAAGAGGAUCGCGGAAUUCCCGGUGUAGAGGUGAAAUUCGUAGAUAUCGGGAGGAACACCGGUGGCGAAGGCGGCGAUCUGGGCAGUAACUGACGCUGAGGAGCGAAAGCGUGGGGAGCGAACAGG
rnacentral:rRNA from 1 species